AUUGAACGCUGGCGGCAGGCCUAACACAUGCAAGUCGAGCGGAUGAAGGGAGCUUGCUCCUGGAUUCCGCGGCGGACGGGUGAGUAAUGCCUAGGAAUCUGCCUGGUAGUGGGGGCUAACGUCCGGACACGGGCGCUAAUACCGCAUACGUCCUGAGGGAGAAAGUGGGGGAUCUUCGGACCUCACGCUAUCAGAUGAGCCUAGGUCGGAUUAGCUAGUUGGUGGGGUAAAGGCCUACCAAGGCGACGAUCCGUAACUGGUCUGAGAGGGUGAUCAGUCACACUGGAACUGAGACACGGUCCAGACUCCUACGGGAGGCAGCAGUGGGGAAUAUUGGACAAUGGGCGAAAGCCUGAUCCAGCCAUGCCGCGUGUGUGAAGAAGGUCUUCGGAUUGUAAAGCACUUUAAGUUGGGAGGAAGGGCAGUAAGUUAAUACCUUGCUGUUUUGACGUUACCAACAGAAUAAGCACCGGCUAACUUCGUG
rnacentral:rRNA from 1 species